rnacentral:rRNA from 1 species
UUGCCAGACUCCUACGGGAGGCAGCAGUGAGGAAUAUUGGUCAAUGGGCUUACGCCUGAACCAGCCAAGUCGCGUGAGGGAAGACUGCCCUAUGGGUUGUAAACCUCUUUUGUCAGGGAGCAACGCCGGCUACGUGUAGCCGGACUGAGAGUACCUGAAGAAAAAGCAUCGGCUAACUCCGUGCCAGCAGCCGCGGUAAUACGGAGGAUGCGAGCGUUAUCCGGAUUUAUUGGGUUUAAAGGGUGCGUAGGCGGAAUCCAAAGUCAGCGGUAAAAUCGCGGGGCUCAACCUCGCUCCGCCGUUGAAACUGGCGUUCUUGAGUGGGCGAGAAGUAUGCGGAAUGCGUGGUGUAGCGGUGAAAUGCAUAGAUAUCACGCAGAACUCCGAUUGCGAAGGCAGCUUACUAGACUAUAACUGACACUGAAGCACGAAAGCGUGGGGAUCAAACAGGAUUAGAUACCCGAGUAU